rnacentral:sRNA from 1 species
CUGGCAGCUUCUUGCCCUGCGAGACGCCGGCGGCGUUGGCCUUGGCCGCCUUGUGGAUGGACCGCAGCGCGUAGUUCCAGCGGCAGAGUCCGCCCUGGUCCUUGAGCGCCUCCACGGCGCCCACGCUCAUCGCCACCAUCCACGACGCCUUCGCUGCACCCGCCAUUGAAGGUUGAUGACUUGAUUCACUGGUGAUCUGUGGAAAUUUUCCUCGCUUGCAGUGGACUCGUUGUACUGUAGUGGGUUGAUGCUGUGUUGGUUAAGUUGAGGAGAGCGGGUGGGGGGUGGUGCGGUCUUUUAUACUGGAGUGGCCUGGCGAAACAGGCGGCGGGCGCGCGUUGGUUUUUCCGGGAUACCGGUGGUUC